rnacentral:lncRNA from 1 species
AUGUGCAAAUUGCCUAUACUGCGCAACUGCGCUUGCAGAAGUGUGAAUACAUCGUCCACUCGAGAAUCACUACGGUUCUUCUCAAAUCAAAGUCCAUCCUCUUUCAUGACUCAUCAAUUUAUGGGAUUGGAUUUUCAGGAGUCACAAAGGAAAAAGGAGGAAGGCCUUGAGGCUUUACGACGCGCAAAGGAGUCGGAAAAAGCAGUAAAUGAUGGACAAGCAGAGAUACAGGAGAAAAUCAACGAAUUAGAAAUUCAAGAGCGUAAUUUAAUGAAGGAGAAACUGGAAAUAGCCCGGGCAUGGAAGGAACUGAAUAGGAGCAGAUCUCAGUUAGAGUUCCUACUGCCAGAAUUGACGAAUGAGGAAAGGCAACUCCUCCAGCCUUCUACUAGGCAGAAACAAAUCGACCGAAAUUUGAUCGUUUACAAGCUACCUGCAGAGAGGGAAGGAGACGGCUUCAAACCUUUCCCAAGUUCAUCGAGCCAUUUUAAUUUAAAGGUUGGCCAGGAAUACGAUUGA